UAAAAAAACACUUUGCGAGCUUUCCUGGGACCUUGAGAUUUUCUGGGGAUGGGUUAGAGUUGCCGUAAGUGCCUUCCCCUGCCGCCCCUCCCGGCUCCCGCUCCAAGCCACCGACGCGUUCUCCCGCUCCUCUCUUUCACCGGGAAGGCGGGAAGGACCCAUGGAUCUGGGCCGAACCGUUGCAGGCGUGCAGCCGGCUUAGAUCCGGCCGGAUUCAUGCUCUUCUUGCCGGGCAGCGGGAAGGAGCAGACCUUACUAUCCGUGGCCCGCGAGAGGAUGGGGUGGCGGUACAGCGGCGCUUGCUUCCAGGGCUGCCGCUCGCCUCAGCUUGCAGGCCAGCUUACUGCCUCGUCGAGCUGCAGGAGUAAUCCUUGAAUAGUUGCAGCCAAAAGUGGGAGCAAUAAAAAUGGGAAGGAAUGCUGGCGUAAAUGAAGCCGUCUGCUCAGCAAAAUCAAGAAAUAUUUGAGCUGUGAUUUCAAGAAAAUAAAUAAAGCUAGAGUUCAUCGUAAUUAGCUGUCCAGGAUGUGCCAAGGUAUAAAAUAGCUAGUUAUUGUUACAUAUGGCUGCUCCUGCAACUCAAAACUCUGGAUAAGUACUAGGGGAAUGCAAGUAAGUAUUAUCAGAGAAAGAGAACUGGAGUCCGUUGUGUUGAAGCAAGGAUAUUUGAAAUGUGUAUUUGAUACAAGUAAUGUUAAAUUUUCUUGCCUUCCUGGUAUUUUAUAUAAAAUAUGCAACAUAA